AAAAAAGACCAUUUCUUGUUUAUUUUUGCUUCAUUUUUUUUUUUUUCCUUCCUCU
rnacentral:ribozyme from 14 species